rnacentral:rRNA from 1 species
AAUCAACGCUGGCGGCGUGCCUAACACAUGCAAGUCGAACGAGAAAGUGGAGCAAUCCAUGAGUAAAGUGGCGCACGGGUGAGUAACACGUGACUAACCUACCCUUGAGUGGGGAUAACCUAGGGAAACCUGGGCUAAUACCGCAUAAUACCUACGGGUCAAAGGAGCAAUUCGCUUUAGGAGGGGGUCGCGGCAGAUUAGUUAGUUGGCGGGGUAAUGGCCCACCAAGACGAUGAUCGUAUCCGGCCUGAGAGGGCGCACGGACACACUGGAACUGAAACACGGUCCAGACUCC